rnacentral:rRNA from 1 species
CGUGGCUAAUCUGCCCUUGGGACAAGAACACCCCCGGGAAACUGGGGCUAAUUCUCGAUAGGUGAAGAACUCUGGAAUGAGUCUUCGCUUAAAAGAUGCUGGGGUUAUGCUCUCCAGUUUCGCCCAAGGAUGAGGCCGCGACCGAUCAGGUUGUUGGUGAGGUAAUGGCUCACCAAGCCUUUUACCGGUGCGGGCCGUGAGAGCGGGAGCCCGGAGAUGGGCACUGAGACAAGGGCCCAGGCCCUACGGGGCGCAGCAGUCGCGAAAACUUUGCAAUAAGCGAAAGCUUGACAGGGCUAUCCCGAGUGCCAUCCGCUGAGGAAGGCUUUUACCCAGUCUAGAACGCUGGGGGAAUAAGGAGAGGGCAAGUCUGGUGUCAGCCGCCGCGGUAAUACCAGCUCUCCGAGUGGUGUGGAUGUUUAUUGGGCCUAAAGCAUCCGUAGCUGGCUAGGUUAGUCCCCUGUUAAAUCCACCGAAUUAAUCGUUGGAUUGCGGGGGAUACUGCUUGGCUAGGGGACGAGAGAGGCAGACGGUAUUUCCGGGGUAGGGGCGAAAUCCUAUAAUCCCGGGAAGACCACCAGUGGCGAACGCUGUCUGCUAGAACGCGCCCGACGGUGAGGGAUGAAAGCUGGGGGAGCGAACCGGGAUUAGAUACCCGGGUAGUCCCAGCUGU